rnacentral:rRNA from 1 species
UACGAAGGGCGCAAGCGUUGCUCGGAAUCACUGGGCGUAAAGCGCACGUAGGCGGAUUGCUAAGUCAGGGGUGAAAUCCUGGAGCUCAACUCCAGAACUGCCUUUGAUACUGGCGACCUUGAGUCCGGGAGAGGUGAGUGGAACUGCGAGUGUAGAGGUGAAAUUCGUAGAUAUUCGCAAGAACACCAGUGGCGAAGGCGGCUCACUGGCCCGGUACUGACGCUGAGGUGCGAAAGCGUGGGGAGCAAACAGG